AUUGAACGCUGGCGGCAGGCCUAACACAUGCAAGUCGAGCGGAGCGGCGGACGGGUGAGUAAUGCUUAGGAAUCUGCCUGGUAGUGGGGGAUAACGUCCGCAAAUGGGCGCUAAUACUGCAUACUAUCAGUUGAGCAUAGGUCGGAUUAGCGAGUUGGUGUGGUAAAGGCCUACCCAGGCGACGAUCAGUAGCGGGUCUGAGAGGACGAUCCGCCACACUGGGACUGAGACACGGCCCAGACUCCUACGGGAGGCAGCAGUGGGGAAUUUUGGACAAUGGGGGCAAGCCUGAUGCAGCCAUGCCGCGUGUAUGAAGAAGGCCUUCGGGUUGUAAAGUACUUUUGUUAGGGAAGCGGUACCUAAAGAAUAAGCACCGGCUAACUACGUGCCAGCAGCCGCGGUAAUAC
rnacentral:rRNA from 1 species